GACGAACGCUGGCGGCGUGCCUAAUACAUGCAAGUAGAACGCUGAAGAGAGGAGCUUGCUCUUCUUGGAUGAGUUGCGAACGGGUGAGUAACGCGUAGGUAACCUGCCUUGUAGCGGGGGAUAACUAUUGGAAACGAUAGCUAAUACCGCAUAACAAUGGAUGACACAUGUCAUUUAUUUGAAAGGGGCAAUUGCUCCACUACAAGAUGGACCUGCGUUGUAUUAGCUAGUAGGUGAGGUAACGGCUCACCUAGGCGACGAUACAUAGCCGACCUGAGAGGGUGAUCGGCCACACUGGGACUGAGACACGGCCCAGACUCCUACGGGAGGCAGCAGUAGGGAAUCUUCGGCAAUGGGGGCAACCCUGACCGAGCAACGCCGCGUGAGUGAAGAAGGUUUUCGGAUCGUAAAGCUCUGUUGUAAGUCAAGAACGAGUGUGAGAGUGGAAAGUUCACACUGUGACGGUAGCUUACCAGAAAGGGACGGCUAACUACGUGCCAGCAGCCGCGGUAAUACGUAGGUCCCGAGCGUUGUCCGGAUUUAUUGGGCGUAAAGCGAGCGCAGGCGGUUUGAUAAGUCUGAAGUUAAAGGCUGUGGCUCAACCAUAGUUCGCUUUGGAAACUGUCAAACUUGAGUGCAGAAGGGGAGAGUGGAAUUCCAUGUGUAGCGGUGAAAUGCGUAGAUAUAUGGAGGGAACACCGGUGGCGAAAGCGGCUCUCUGGUCUGUAACUGACGCUGAGGCUCGAAAGCGUGGGGAGCGAACAGG
rnacentral:rRNA from 1 species